CUUAAAUAGCCUUGGGAAGAAAAGGGAGGGGAGAAAGAAGAUGUAAGCAUUCCUUAGGAUCUUCUGAUCAACCAGCAACAGGCCCCCCUGCAAACACAAACAGUGACACACAUUACACAUAUACAUCCAACUUCAUAGAGAUAUACCAGCAUACUCUUUUGAUAAUUGUUAGAAAUACCUAGGUGCCAAAAGAAAUCAGACAAGUGCUUAAAAGUGGGUGGGCAAAGCAAACUUUAUUUCUGCCAGGAGGGUGUGCUACUGGAACCUGGCUAGCUAGCUAUACCUGCUGCUAAUGCAGCACUGCACUUUGCCCCAGUUGGAGGAGCUCCAGGGUACAAUCUAUAUGAUUGGCUAAUUUUCAGAUUAGGGCAGCAAAGGGAAGGGCUAUAAUUAAAAUGGCUACAAUUUAAUCCAAUUAAGGCUAUUUUCUGAAAAUGGACCACUGGGACUUUCUAUUUCUCACAUAAUGUAGGUACAAAUGAGCAUUAGAGGGCUGAAAAUCUUUUAAAAACUGCCCUGAAAAGUAAAAUAUAUUGACUGACUUAAUUGUUCAUCCCAUUUGUUUCUUCAAUAAAUAAACCAUUGGAUUGUAAACCGUUGUAAUCAUGCUCUCAUGGCAUUUGGAAAAGACACAGAAUUUUGGAGUCAAACUGAAUCCAAACUUUGCUACUUAUAUGUACUGAUGUGAUCUUGAGUCACUUGAUCUCCAUGAACCUUGCUCUCCUUAUUUGUAUAAUGGGUAUGCUUCUACCUGCCUCAUGGAGAGGUUGUCCGAAUGUAACAAUGUAAAUGCUUAGCAAUGCAUUUGGCUUCUAGUAGUGAUCAGUACAUGCUGAUUCUCUUUCCCUUGAAUCUUUUUUUUCCCCCUGUCCUCCCUUCCAAUCCUGCAUUAGCAUGAGAAAAUACCAAUGAACUGUCUACAUCUGAUCCAAAAUAGGCUUUUUGUAGAAUUUUUGCCAAAAGUUCUGAGCUACUUUCAGGGGACAUUAAAAAGAAAACAUGGUCCCCAUCCUCAGAGAGUUCACAAAACGAGCCAUAUACAAAUGUAAUCCCAAUGACUUUGGAGGCUGGAGGCAGGGGAUCCCAAGUUUAAGGUCAGCCUAGGCAACUUAAUGGGAAUUACAAAUUAAAAACCAGGGCUGGGAAUGUAGCUCAGGAGUAGAGUGCCCCUGGGCUAAAUCCUUAGUACCAUAAACAAUCAAACUUUGGCUUUGACAGAUAGGGCAAAAGUUCCAGACCUGUCCAUAGGUGAUGUGAUAAAGGAGGGGCAUCCAGUACAGAAUAGGGUCACAGUUAUAUUCCUGGAAGCCAUUUCUGCCUCUCUUUCCAGAAUAAGCUGUAAGGUUUCAAGAACCCCCAUGGAGUCCUGCCGCAGUCCGGCUGCAGCAAAAUAACCGGGGGGUGACAAGGAACUUGCGUAGAUUGAUACAGCAGGAGUAGGAGCCAUUUAUUGCAGGACAGGAGCGGUAUUUAUACAUUCCACACAGCUUAU
rnacentral:lncRNA from 1 species